UUUGGAUACAUGCAAAUUUAAAUCACAAUUGCACGAUGGAAAGGUCUUUUAUUUUUUCCAGCUUUUUGUUUUUGAUUUUUUUCCCCAUAUGAUUUGAUGGUAUUCAGGCUGGCCAAUCUGAGAAGGACCUUUCAGAGAGCUGACAAGUGGAUGGGAAAAGGCUAUGACAGUGCAACCAAGCAAAGAGAGCAUUUGACUGGAAAUAGGAAGGCAAAUCAGCUGUGGCAACUGGCAUUUCUGUUGUGUUACUGUAAAAGGUGCAUCGGCUUUUUUCAGAGAGAGUAAAACCUCUGAUAUGCUACCAAAAUGGUUCUCUUUUUCAAAAAUCUGAUUCCUUGGAAAUGUAAAAGCAUUUGCUACUUUUAACAAGCCCAUCAAGUAUUUUGUUUUUGCUGAUAAAGAAGUCAAAUCAAAUCAGUUCCAAAAGGGUAUAUGCUUCACUAUAUGUGGGAGAAGUACUAAACUUCAACAAGACCAAUCCAGGGAAUGCUCCCUGGAAUGGACCAUGGAUGAUCCAUAUGAUCAGAGAUAGAGUGAUUAAUCAGAUAUUACAUUCAGAACAAACGUGCCUCAUUGAGACACACCAAACAAAAGGCCAUGUUCAGAGUCCUGGAGGGAGUUUUGGGGACACAACUCUCCAGCACAGGUGUGCUCCACCAGCUGACUUAUCUACCAUUGGAACACCUGCAGUUACCCCUGGGUCCUUCCAGCAAAGCCCCAGUGCCUUUGGAAUCUGCAGGAAGUGCCAGGUCUAAGAAGCAUUUGUCAAGCAGGCAGCUCGGCUACCUCUUGCUGAUGGCAAGUAUUUUCUGCAGAUUUUGAUUUCCUGCUGUGCACAGUGACUGAUACUGCACCUUCACCCCAUCACUGCCUUGACUGACAGAAGUGUGGAAAAAG
rnacentral:lncRNA from 1 species